AGAACGAACGCUGGCGGCAGGCUUAGGCAUGCAAGUCGAACGGAUGACAGAGAGCUUGCUCUCUGAAGUCAGUGGCGCACGAGUGAGUAACGCGUGGGAAACUGCCCUUCACUGGGGAAUAACGUUUGGAAACGAACGCUAAUACCGCAUACGCCCGCAAGGGGAAAGAUUUAUCGGUGAUGGAUGUGCCCGCGUUGGAUUAGCUAGUUGGUGGGGUAAUGGCCUACCAAGGCGAUGAUCCAUAGCUGGUCUGAGAGGACGAUCAGCCACGCUGGAACUGAGACACGGUCCAGACUCCUACGGGAGGCAGCAGCUAAGAAUAUUGGGCAAUGGAGGAAACUCUGACCCAGCCCAUGCCGCGUGAAUGAAGAAGGCCUUCGGGUUGUAAAGUUCUUUUAGUCAUGAAGAUGAUGACAGUAGUGACAGAAAAAGCACCGGCUAACUUCGUGCCAGCCGCAGC
rnacentral:rRNA from 1 species